rnacentral:rRNA from 1 species
UACGGGGGGGGUAAGCGUUGUUCGGAAUUACUGGGCGUAAAGGGCUCGUAGGCGGCCAACUAAGUCAGACGUGAAAUCCCUCAGCUUAACUGGGGAACUGCGCCUGAUACUGGAUGGCUUGGAUCCGGGAGAGGGAUGCGGAAUUCCAGGUGUAGCGGUGAAAUGCGUAGAUAUCUGGAGGAACACCGGUGGCGAAGGCGGCAUCCUGGACCGGUAUUGACGCUGAGGAGCGAAAGCAUGGGGAGCGAACGGG